rnacentral:rRNA from 1 species
UACGUAGGGCGCAAGCGUUAUCCGGAAUUACUGGGCGUAAAGGGCGCGUAGGCGGACAGUUUAGUCAGAGGUGAAAGCCCAGGGCUCAACCUUGGAAUAGCCUUUGAUACUGGCUGUCUUGAGUUCGGGAGAGGUGAGUGGAAUGCCGAGUGUAGAGGUGAAAUUCGUAGAUAUUCGGCGGAACACCAGUGGCGAAGGCGACUCACUGGCCCGAUACUGACGCUGAGGCGCGAAAGCGUGGGGAGCAAACAGG